rnacentral:rRNA from 1 species
AUUGAACGCUGGCGGUAGGCCUAACACAUGCAAGUCGAACGAGUGGCGGACGGGUGAGAAAUACAUCGGAAACUACUCUGUCGAGGGGGAUAACGACUGGAAACUUACGCUAAUACCGCAUACGAUUGAAUGUGCCGAGGUCGGAUUAGCUAGUGGGGGGGGUAACGGCACACCAAGGCGACGAUCCGUAGCUGGUCUGAGAGGAUGAGAAGCCACACUGGAACUGAGACACGGUCAAGAUUCCUACGGGAGGCAGCAGUGGGGAAUAGUGGACAAUGGGCGCAAGCCUGAUCCAGCCAUACCGCGUGGGUGAAGAAGGCUUUCGGGUUGUAAAGCCCUUUUGUUGGGAAAGCGGUACCCAAAGAAUAAGCACCGGCUAACUUCGUGCCAGCAGCCGCGGUAAUUC